UGUUGGUGCCAAGAGGGAAAAGGG
rnacentral:siRNA from 1 species